GCCUACGGGGCGCAGCAGUAGGGAAUCUUCCACAAUGGGCGAAAGCCUGAUGGAGCAACGCCGCGUGGGUGAAGAAGGUCUUCGGAUCGUAAAACCCUGUUGUUAGAGAAGAAAGUGCGUGAGAGUAACUGUUCACGUUUCGACGGUAUCUAACCAGAAAGCCACGGCUAACUACGUGCCAGCAGCCGCGGUAAUACGUAGGUGGCAAGCGUUAUCCGGAUUUAUUGGGCGUAAAGAGAACGCAGGCGGUCUUUUAAGUCUGAUGUGAAAGCCUUCGGCUUAACCGGAGUAGUGCGUGGGAAACU
rnacentral:rRNA from 1 species